GACGAACGCUGGCGGCGUGCCUAACACAUGCAAGUCAGGGAUUGAAGGGUAGCAAUACUUUUCAAGACCGGCGCACGGGUGAGUAACACGUAGGUAAUCUACCCUUAGGCGGGGAACAACCCCGAGAAAUCGGGGCUAAUACCGCAUAAUGCAACGAGACCACAUGAUUUUGUUGUUAAAGAUCCGCAAGGAUCACCAGAGGAUGAACCUGCGUCCGAUUAGCUAGUUGGCGGAGUAANAGCCCACCAAGGCGACGAUCGGUAGCCGACCUGAGAGGGUGAUCGGCCACACUGGAACUGAGAUACGGUCCAGACUCCUACGGGAGGCAGCAGUGAGGAAUAUUGGUCAAUGGCCGAAAGCUGAACCAGCAACGCCGCGUGAGGGAUGAAGGUCUAAGGAUUGUAAACCUCUGUUAGG
rnacentral:rRNA from 1 species